rnacentral:tRNA from 1 species
GGCUCAGUGGUAGAGCACUUGCCUUGCAUGCAGGAGGCCCUGGGUUCGAUUCCUCAG